UACGGGGGGGGCAAGCGUUGUUCGGAAUUACUGGGCGUAAAGGGCUCGUAGGUGGCCAACUAAGUCAGACGUGAAAUCCCUCGGCUUAACCGGGGAACUGCGUCUGAUACUGGAUGGCUUGAGUGUGGGAGAGGGAUGCGGAAUUCCAGGUGUAGCGGUGAAAUGCGUAGAUAUCUGGAGGAACACCGGUGGCGAAGGCGGCUUCCUGGACCGACACUGACGCUGAGGCGCGAAAGCUAGGGGAGCAAACGGG
rnacentral:rRNA from 1 species